rnacentral:tRNA from 1 species
UGCAUCGGCCGGGAAUUGAACCCGGGCCGCCGGUGUUGCAGGCGAGCAUUCUACCAUUGAACCACCAAUGC